AUUGAACGCUGGCGGUAUGCCUAACACAUGCAAGUCGAACGGCAGCACAGUAAGAGCUUGCUCUUACGGGUGGCGAGUGGCGGACGGGUGAGGAAUACAUCGGAAUCUACUUUUUCGUGGGGGAUAACGUAGGGAAACUUACGCUAAUACCGCAUACGACCUACGGGUGAAAGCAGUGGAUCUUCGGACCUUGCGCGAUUGAAUGAGCCGAUGUCGGAUUAGCUAGUUGGCGGGGUAAAGGCCCACCAAGGCGACGAUCCGUAGCUGGUCUGAGAGGAUGAUCAGCCACACUGGAACUGAGACACGGUCCAGACUCCUACGGGAGGCAGCAGUGGGGAAUAUUGGACAAUGGGCGAAAGCCUGAUCCAGCCAUACCGCGUGGGUGAAGAAGGCCUUCGGGUUGUAAAGCACUUUUGUUGGGAAAGAAAAGCAGCAGGUUAAUACCCCGCUGUUAUGACGGUACCCAAAGAAUAAGCACCGGCUAACUUCGUG
rnacentral:rRNA from 1 species